rnacentral:RNase_P_RNA from 1 species
CGAGUCGGUUAGACAAUCGCUGGUUUAUUGAAGCCCUUAACCGUAGUAAUACGACCUAGUGGGACAAGUAAACGAGAGGAAAGUCCGAGCUACACAGGGCAGAGUGCCGGAUAACGUCCGGGAGGCGUGAGCCUACGACCAGUGCAACAGAGAGCAGACCGCCGUGUAAACGGUAAGGGUGAAAGGGUGCGGUAAGAGCGCACCGUGCCGUCGGUAACGAUUGGCAGCAGGGUAAACUCCACUCGUAGCAAGACCAAAUAGGAACUCAAUGAAUGGCCCGUUCAGAGUUCGGGUAGGUUGCUUGAGCGGCGGAGUAAUCCGUCGCCUAGAGGAAUGAUUGUCCACGACAGAACUCGGCUUAUCGACCGACUCACAAC